AAAAGUACAUCAUUUGUAGAGAUGAAUUGCUACAGUGGAACUCAAUUUGCUGUAGCUGUUAAGGCAUUUUACAAAAAUGGUAACAGUGUUGUCCCUGCGAGAUUUAAAAACACUGAUAUUCUCAUCUCUGGAAGCAUGAUUCUUUUCCAUCAGAACAUGCAAUCAGAUUAUGGAUAAGGAACUUUGAAGCUUUGGGAAGUGCAUUGAAGCAAAAACCUACAGGUAGACCUAAGAGCAUGCACUAUAGACAAUUUCAGUCACAGAUUGUUGAAGUAUUAAUGUUGAAAUGAUGGCCACCUGCAGGACAUCAUUUUCAAAGCAUGAACAUAACUAUGCAUAGUUAACAAGUGUCAGUGUGUAAGGAUACAAGGGAUAUGUGUGUAUUUUUUUCUAAUAAAAAGCAGUAUCAGUUUCAUUGCAUUCGAAAAUGUCCCAUGCAAUGAAACUGACAUUACAUAAACCAACUCAAGCCCUAUUUACCACUUCCAUAACUCUGCUUCUGAUUAAGCUAGUACUAUGAAAAUUGUAUAUGCUAUUAAGCUUUAUUUCCUCAUGGUCUGUAAAAAUUUGCAGAGAUGGAUAUAAAUAUAUACAUAGUGUGUGCUGCAGGAACUUGGUCCAGUGCACUGACAUGCCUAUUGAUCCUGUCUUACGACAGGAUUGCAUUCAGAAAUUUUGAUCACAAUUUGAAUCCAUCAUAACUCAAAACUUGAUUUUCUAUAGGCACAAUGUUAUAAAUGGAAGUUAAGUUUUCCAACCACUAGAAUUUAGAAUAUUUAAUAUUCUUUUAAACAGUAGCAUUGUACAGUAAUGUUGAAUAAAUGCUUUUUAUUAUUUUAAAUGAGAAAAUUAUAUAUUCUGUGCCUGCUAGAACUUUACAUGGGGGAAAAAAAAAGAAAACACAAUGCAAAAAUAAAGAUGAAAUGCUUAAAUUAUUUUCCUGUGUUCAACUUUUUUAGCAUCAGCUGCAUGAUAAAGCAGUUAAAGGAUCUGGAUUCAUUUCUGGGUCUCGCGUAUCAUUUUUCAAGAAGAGUUCAUUCCUAACUAGACUCAUUGAACUCCAUACUUCAGCAUUCUAAUUAAUUGCACCAUAGAUGUUAGGCAGUGUAUGGAGGUUCUAAAAGUGGUCACUGCCAAAAGUAUCUUUUAAUAGCUUAAUUCAAACUAACCUAAUCA
rnacentral:lncRNA from 1 species